GCUCGCUGAUUUGUUUCAGUACGACACAACUGCGAAGCAUGCUAUCGAUCUUAGUCUGUGAGUAUACAGCUAGAGUGUCAGAAAGUACACAGGAUACUGCUGUGCAGCAGCGUCAUAGCGACGUGCUUUUGAUCUUCGAUGUCGGCUCUCCUAUCAUUGAGACGCAGAAGUCUCAAAGUGUCGGAUUGUUCACCCGCCAAUAGGGAACGUGAGCUGGGUUUAGACCGUCGUGAGACAGGUUAGUUUUACCCUACUGACAAAGUAGAUACUGCGACAGUAGUCGAAGUUAGUACGAGAGGAACACUUCGUCCAGAUACUUGGUUAAUGCCGUUGUCUGAAAAGACAGUACGGCGAAGCUACCAUCUGCUGGAUUACGGCUGAACGCCUCUAAGCCGGAAUCCAUGCUGGAUAAGCAGUGUUGUACACCGUGCUCAAUGCUACAAGAAAAAGGCUAGGUCAGGCUUCGGCCUGACCAAAAUUCAAGCUGCUAUACCUCUGGCUGCAUUGACUUGUGGUCAGAGUGUAUGGUGAUCAUAGCAAUUGCAAGUAUUGGGCUCGAUAAAUCCUUUGAAGACGACUUAAUUGCAUCCGGGUAUUGUAAGUGUUGAGAGUAGGCUUAGUCUUACGAUCCACUGAGAUUCAUCCCGUGUUGCGCCGAUUUGU
rnacentral:ncRNA from 1 species